rnacentral:lncRNA from 1 species
GAAUCCUUGGGAUGCUCCUUCUGGCCCAAUAGUUAAUCUUGUCCAAAUAAUUUGCCACCCGAUAUUCAAAUUUGGUAAAGGUUCCAUCAGAUUUGAAUUUUUGAUAAGCCACUCUACCAAAACUGUCAUAAAUAUGGACUUCCAUUGACGCCAAUCGUAGUUCCCCAAAUAGCCAGUGAUUAGGGGAUGAAUGAAUCGCCAAUAGGACCUAUAUCUCCUUCUGGCCCAAUAGUUAAUCUUGUCCAAAUAAUUUGCCACCCGAUAUUCAAAUUUGGUAAAGGUUCCAUCAGAUUUGAAUUUUUGAUAAGCCACUCUACCAAAACUGUCAUAAAUAUGGACUUCCAUUGACGCCAAUCGUAGUUCCCCAAAUAGCCAGUGAUUAGGGGAUGAAUGAAUCGCCAAUAGGACCUAUAUAAGGAUAAG